GGCCUACCAUGGUGGUAACGGGUAACGGGGUGUUAGGGCACGACACCGGAGAGGGAGCCUGAGAAACGGCUACCACAUCCAAGGAAGGCAGCAGGCGCGCAAAUUACCCAAUCCCGACACGGGGAGGUAGUGACAAUAAAUAACAAUACAGGGCUCUUUUGGGUCUUGUAAUUGGAAUGAGUACAAUUUAAAUCUCUUAACGAGGAACAAUUGGAGGGCAAGUCUGGUGCCAGCAGCCGCGGUAAUUCCAGCUCCAAUAGCGUAUAUUAAAGUUGUUGCAGUUAAAAAGCUCGUAGUUGAAUUUCGGGAUCAAUAUAUCGGUCGUGCCUUUGGUACGUACUGGUAUCAUUGGUUUCUCCUUUCUGACGAACCAUGAUGUCAUUAAUUUGGUGUUAUGGGGAGUUAGGACUGUUACUUUGAAAAAAUUAGAGUGUUUAAAGCAGGCUUUAGCUUGAAUACAUUAGCAUGGAAUAAUGAAAUAGGACGUUCGAACCUAUUUUGUUGGUUUCUAGGACCAACGUAAUGAUUAAUAGGGAUAGUUGGGGGCAUUAGUAUUCAAUUGUCAGAGGUGAAAUUCUUGGAUUUAUUGAAGACUAACUACUGCGAAAGCAUUUGCCAAGGAUGUUUUCAUUAAUCAAGAACGAAAGUUAGGGGAUCGAAGACGAUCAGAUACCGUCGUAGUCUUAACCAUAAACUAUGCCGACUAGGGAUCGGAUGAUGUUAAUUUUUUAAUGACUCAUUCGGCNCCUUACG
rnacentral:rRNA from 1 species